ensembl:lncRNA
UGUGCUUCAAGGAGACACUUUGUAUGACAUUGUGGAACGCUCGGACAUUGAUAUUGUUCAAUCGAACCUGGACAUUGAAAGCAACUCAUCAUCAGAGAGGAGCUUUAUAUGCUGUAUGCAAACCUCGAAGGCCUUCAAGCUGCAACACGGCAGCUGCUGUUCCAUGCUGGUCAGAGGGAGCUUCCAGUCUGUCCCUCAGCCUUGCCCGUCCUCCUCUUCAGCCUGUCCCACCAACCAGCCUCUGUUUGUGGCCCUCUGCACCCCCACGGUCGAGCGCCUGCAGAACACUGACUCCCACUUCUGUCACAGCUUCCACAGCGUCCACAGACUCGAUAUGACUUUCACUCAGCUGUCGGACAGGUACAUUCAUAGAUCCUCGUGUAAACAGAUAUAAUCAAUAUGUUCUCGUACUGGUUGCUGACAAACAUUUUUAUGUCUUUCUGUUUCAGUGUUUUAUAUUUUUUGGGGUAUUCGGCAGAAGAACUGACCGGUCGAUCGUGGUACAGUCUCGUCCACCCUGAAGAUCUUUCUUUGAGUGCAGAAUUGUCAUAGAAGUUUAAUGCAGGCAGACGAGGGCUUCCAGGUAGAGGUGGUGCUCAGACUCCAGUGCAAGGAUCUGACGUGGACGUGGAUCUACAUUCAAGCUAACAAGGACUCUGAGUGCCAGAGUGUGAGCUGCACUAACUUCAUCAUCAGGUAUGAUGAACAACACUUUUCCCGCACAUCUGAGCUGACAGUGUAAGAAAUGUUUUUCAAGUCACAAACAUCGACUUAAUGCAUCGUUUUGCUCUUCCAGUGAAACAGAGGCCAGAUUUCUUCAAGAGAAAAUCAUCAGCGAUGCCUCAAGGCCAUCCUCUCAACAGGCACCCCACGCUCAGAGCCACAACACUAAAUGCUUUAAAAGGCAGAGGACGUCUAACAGCCAAAGUGAGGAGCCAGGUGCCAAAGCUAGGAGGGAGUCCGAGGAAGACGUAUACUAUAUGGCGUGCGCCUCCUCCCAAGGUGAUAGCUCACCUGUUCCCCUGGGUGACAGCCCUUCUCUCUUCACCCCUCCCUACAGCCCGGCCUCCUCCAGCUCCCCUCUGCAGCAGGAGGAGCUCAGCCAUGACCUCCUGAUGGAUGUGCAUGGAUACACAGAUCAGCUGCUGUCCUCCCCUGAGUGCUCUCCCCCCUAUUAUUCCUACCCAGAGGCACGGCACACCUGUCACCAAUCACCCUCCGACUCCCUCCCCGUCGCCGCUGCACAAACCUUCGACCGGGAAGCCUUCGGCUCUCUCUCUCCGCUCUCCUCCUCGUCUCCAACCUAUGAUUUCCAAGCUUGUACGGCCGAGGCUCGAUUAGUUCCAGACUGCCUGUCUGUGUCCGACAUGUGUGAGAGCCCAGUGGACUGUGCUCUGCAUCAAGAUGACUUCGGCAUCCUUGAGGAGCCACAAGGGGGCAGCCUUAUCCAGGUGCAUCAUGUUCCCCAACACGUGUUGCCCAUACAUUCCGGACCCCUCACCCCCAACCAAUCGCCCACAUCCACAGAGUCCAACCAUUACAACGAGAAGGAGCAGGCAGAGAUCAGUAUUCUGGCUCAGCAGAUCUCCUCCCUGGCCAGCAGCUUUUCCAUGUAUCACACCCUGAACCUGCUUCAAAAUGUGCCCCAACCUGCACCAACUAACGCCCUGCCCUCAGCCUGCGACUGGCACCAUCACCCUCCUCUCCCUUCAGACGUUCCUCUUAAGCGGGAGCCAGUCCUCGAUGUCGGCGUGUUCGACAGCAUCCUGAAAGACCUGGACAUGGUCACAAGGAAAAGCAGCAUGUGCGGCCCCGGGGCUGUAACAUACAGCUACCAGCAGGGCUUGUUGCACUGCAGGAGUGAGUCCCAUCAGCUGGAGCAGGGGCCACUCGGUCUCUCCCCGACUAUCGCAGAAGACCCGCUGCCUGCAGAGCAGUUCACCUCCACAGAUCCCUUCAGUUUGCAGUUGGGACACCAUGACCAAAACACUGAGUUGCAUCAACUCAACCACUAUAUGCAGAGUGCCCUUCAGCAAGAUGGACUUGCUGAAGAAAACCUGUACUGAAAUAAGUCUGUGACUUACUGUACUCCCACUUGUAUGACAUAUUGUCAGCGCUGAAUUCAAAGACGAAUGCGAGCAAAGACAUUUAAAGGACAUCUUUGCUGAGACACUGUUUCCUCAAAUGACUUAUUUCUGAAUGUAGAAAAGCAACUGAAUUAGAUCAUGCGCUCUUCAAGAUUACAGCUUUGUCUUCAUUUCUCAACACCGCUGUCGACUGUGUUUUAUGUUUUGCUGAUUUUACAUUUUUAUGAAAAAGGUGCUUUUUAAUAAUGUGUCUGACAACUCUUACACACUGGAAUUGAAGUAUAUUUUUCUUCUAAUGCUGAGUGACCACAGUUUACUAUUGAGCACUUUAUCAAUGUCAUUGCCACAAUAAUUUUAUAAAUGAGAAGGCGUGCUGAUUUGAAGGAGUAUUAUGUUGAUUUAAAAAGCUACCUGGACGAGCUUUUACCACAUAAAUCAUUCCUUACAACAAAGAUGCAGUUGGAAAUGUUUGGCUUUAGGUGCCUUAGAAACAUGCAGUCUAGCUAAAAAAGAAUAUUUCCAUUCCUUAUAUCUCAGUUUUCUCAGUGUGCCAUUAAUGCGUUCAUGCUGUUAUGAAUAAAUAAGCAAGAUAAUGAUGAUUGUUACACCUACCUCAACGGUACAUCUGAAUACAUUCCAAGUCUGAAUUUAAUGAAUGAAUGAUAUUUAUUUUGAACAUCACUUCUUACUCUCACUUAAUUGUCUUAAAAUGUUUGUACUUUACUGCAAUGUGAAUCUUAAACUUUAUUUUUUAAUUCAUUCCACAUGACUUUUUUUCACGGUACUGGUACUGCACGUCUAAGUGUUUGUCCUGCAACUUGCUUCAAAUGUUUGAAAUGUAAAUAAAACAAAUGAGAAAUGCAUUGGG